GUUAAAUUAGCUGUUACUGUGUGGGCAGGGUUUCUGUUUCAGCUUCCUGUUUCACUGUUAGCCCCACACCCAGCUAUACAUGCGUCCUGUCACAUACACGAAGCACCAAGAGCUUAUUUCUUGUUUCAUUCUGUUCACUUACUGCUGACAAUGGUAAGUAACUACUUGCUACUUGCAACUACUAAUUGCUUUGCAUCUUUAUGAUUGAUUUCUUCAACAUUGCUAAUUUCAUGUAUGUUGUUGGUGAAAUGUGAUCUGAUUCCAUCAGGCUGAUGCACAAAUGACAAAGUGAGUUGACCUAUUCUCUGAACUACAAAUGCUGAUUGUUGUGUUCUAAUUUUAAAUGAUUUUAAACUAUUGUUUAUUAUAUUCAGAAAAGAAAGACAACUCGUAAGUGAAAGCAAUUUCAAAACUAACGCUUUCAAGAUUAUCAAGGAAAUAGUGAUACUUUGUGUCCAGUGUUCAGACCCUGUUGCCACUGUACAUUUUGUUGAUGAGGUAUGUCAUAUCAAGACUCUUAUAAACUUUGAAUUUGGUUUAUGUCCCUGUCAGAGUUUGCACUGAACAUGUCAUAACAAUACAGAAAAUCUUUGAUUUCAUAGGUUCUUCACAGCAUCUACUUUUUGGGAAAGAUCAAAAUUCAACCAUCAUUCAACCCUGAAGACAUUCUCUUUGAUAGAGAGUUGUUGAAAAUGUUCAGGGACAUGUUCCCUUGGCCUUUUAAGUGCUAUUUAUCUCAGCUACCUAAGCGGAGUCCAUUUUCAUGUGUGCUGGACAUGGUUGUCUACCUGACUGGAGAAUGGAAUGAAAACAUCAUUAAACAACAGUUACAAAACAUCACUAACGGCUUAAACCCAAAGCAUCUGAUCUCCUCCACCGUGUGUGUCUCUCAAAAGAAGAAGAAGAAGAAGAAGAAGAAGAAGAAGAAGAAGAACCCAGGCUCACUAAGAAGGGAAGAACUUCUGAGGACCCAAGAGUCUUUUAGAAGCAAUGCCAUCCUGCUAAUCACAAAGAUGUUAGAUUGGCACGACCUGUAUCCAGGAGGUAAACACUUAGUGGAGGAGAUGCUACACAGCAUCUUCUUUCUAGGAAAGAUCAACAGGCCGCCAUAUUCUCCAGAAAUGAUCUUUGGGAGUGAUGUAGUGAUGUUACAAAGGUUGAAGCUGUCCUACCCCCGUCCUUUUGAGUGCUAUUUAUCUCACCAACCUAAGCGGAGUCCAUUUUCGUGUGUGGAAGACAUGGUUGUCUACCUGGCUGAAGAAUGGAAUGAAAACCUCAUUAAACACCUGUUACAAAACAUCACUAACAACUUAAAAACAAAGCCUUUGAUCUCCUCCACCGUGGGUGUCUCUCAGAAGAAGAAGAAGAAGAGUAGAAAGAAGAAGAAGAAGAAGAACCCAGCAUCAGUCAGGUACUACGGAGUCUCCAUGUCCACUUCUGGUGGUGAUGCUGGGCAAAUCAUGAUUGCUGCCUCCUGUUUGAGCUACUGGGACAAUUACGUAGCUGAUGCAGUGAUGACCUAUUAUCCUGUAAAAGUCAAGAAAGACUACUUUGAUGGAACCAUCAAACUUCCUAAUACGAUCAGGUGCAAAGCGUUUUGCAUCAGUGAUGGAGUAGAAAUGUCUCCUUGCAGAUCAUGUCAGAACUGGUUUGGUUUGAGAGAUAAUACUGUAGCAAAAGAAUGGGCAACUGUGCUGAAGCUGAGAGUUUGAGCAAACUGUUGAAAAAUGAGAGCGAAAUUAAGGCCAACGUCUGUCAUGUACACAGAUGAGAACAGGGAGAGGGCUCAAAGACAUGUCUUGAACAAUUUUAGGGAUUUAGUUGAGGGAGCUAAGUGAAAGGAUACCAGACUCAGAAUGAAAUAACAUGGUCCUGACACUGAGUUACAGCAGUAGAUAGGGAUUUUUUUCAUGGUAUAGGAAGAAACGAGAUUAGUGCAGGAGAUAGUCAGAAUAGGAAAUAACAGGUAACUUAGCCAGUUAGUGUAUGACAAAAAACAUGAUAAUUAAUGCAGCAAACAUAUUUCUUAACAACAUACUGAAAACUGGCUUCAAAUCUUUGAACAGUUAAAACAAAUGUGAUUUAUAUAAAGUUUUAACAUUGGAAAUGGCUGAUGUUACUUGUUAUGUGUAUAUCUAUUCCUAUUGACAAUAGACAUGCAAAUGAUUUUAUAGCAAACUCUACAAGACUAAUGUGUGUACAGCUUGAAUGAAGCAUGCAAGCGAUGCAAAGAUUAAUAAACAAUUCAUAAAAGUAUUGUGAAUUAAUGCCAUGUCAAGAGCUUUCGGUUAAAUGGAAGAACUGAAAAAGUGGCGAGGGUGGGACAUAAACCAUCAUUUAGAAACAAAAUAUCC
rnacentral:lncRNA from 1 species